rnacentral:rRNA from 1 species
GACGAACGCUGGCGGCGUGCCUAAUACAUGCAAGUCGAGCGAACGGACGAGAAGCUUGCUUCUCUGAUGUUAGCGGCGGACGGGUGAGUAACACGUGGAUAACCUACCUAUAAGACUGGGAUAACUUCGGGAAACCGGAGCUAAUACCGGAUAAUAUUUUGAACCGCAUGGUUCAAAAGUGAAAGACGGUCUUGCUGUCACUUAUAGAUGGAUCCGCGCUGCAUUAGCUAGUUGGUAAGGUAACGGCUUACCAAGGCAACGAUGCAUAGCCGACCUGAGAGGGUGAUCGGCCACACUGGAACUGAGACACGGUCCAGACUCCUACGGGAGGCAGCAGUAGGGAAUCUUCCGCAAUGGGCGAAAACCUGACGGAGCAACGCCGCGUGAGUGAUGAAGGUCUUCGGAUCGUAAAACUCUGUUAUUAGGGAAGAACAUAUGUGUAAGUAACUGUGCACAUCUUGACGGUACCUAAUCAGAAAGCCACGGCUAACUACGUG